rnacentral:rRNA from 1 species
CACAUGUUCACAUGAUUAAAGGUAUUCCGGUAGACGAUGGGGAUGCGUUCCAUUAGAUAGUAGGCGGGGUAACGGCCCACCUAGUCUUCGAUGGAUAGGGGUUCUGAGAGGAAGGUCCCCCACAUUGGAACUGAGACACGGUCCAUACUCCUACGGGAGGCAGCAGUGAGGAAUAUUGGUCAAUGGGCGCAGGCCUGAACCAGCCAAGUAGCGUGAAGGAUGACUGCCCUAUGGGUUGUAAACUUCUUUUAUAAAGGAAUAAAGUCGGGUAUGUAUACCCGUUUGCAUGUACUUUAUGAAUAAGGAUCGGCUAACUCCGUGCCAGCAGCCGCGGUAAUAGCGGAGGAUCCGAGCGUUAUCCGGAUUUAUUGGGUUUAAAGGGAGCGUAGAUGGAUGUUUAAGUCAGUUGUGAAGUUUGCGGCUCAACCGUAAAAUUGCAGUUGAUACUGGAUAUCUUGAGUGCAGUUGAGGCAGGCGGAAUUCGUGGUGUAGCG